CCCUAUGGGGUGCCGCAGGUUGCCAAGGUCAAGUCACCAAAAUUGGCCGAGGAUACGCCAAAGAGCGAAUGGCCGCUGGGCGUCCCGGCGAGAUACUGGCUGGACCUGCGAGCCUACAAGCCUGCCGAUGAGGCCAAAGAGGUAUCGCAGCCCAUGCUCAUUUUGCAGGGGGAGAGGGAUUAUCAGGUGACGAUGGAGGAUUUUGCCAACUGGAAGAGAGCAUUGGGGGCAAGGAAGGACGUGAGUUUCAUUUCCUACCCCAAGCUGAACCACCUGUUCAUGGAAGGCGAUGGCAAAAGCAGUCCUGCGGAGUAUUCGAUGCCGGGCAACGUGGCGGGAGGGC
rnacentral:rRNA from 1 species